rnacentral:rRNA from 1 species
UACGAAGGGGGCUAGCGUUGUUCGGAAUCACUGGGCGUAAAGGGCGCGUAGGCGGCUUUGUAAGUCGGGGGUGAAAGCCUGUGGCUCAACCACAGAAUUGCCUUCGAUACUGCAUGGCUUGAGACCGGAAGAGGUAAGUGGAACUGCGAGUGUAGAGGUGAAAUUCGUAGAUAUUCGCAAGAACACCAGUGGCGAAGGCGGCUUACUGG